AUGCAACUGCAAUUUUCAACUUGACCUUCAGUAUAAAUGAAACCUUUGUUCCAACACUGGCCAAUACCAGCUCCUCAGAGUUUGCAAAAAAUGCUACAAAUAUCUGUUAUCAGGUUGAACCAUUAUACAAGAAAGCAUUUAAUAACUUCAUUCUCAUGCAAAUUCUAAACUUCAGGAGUGGUUCUACUAUCACAGAAAGCAAACUUUAUAUGGAUUCUAGUGGCCCAGAUGUUACUGUAACCCAAG